AAUGGGAGAUUAAAAAGUCUCCUGUGCUGCUUGUCUAAUGUAUUUAACUUAUCCUACAUUAGUAUCUGAAAUCAGCUGAUGUCAUAGGUCUAAGGGGAAAUUUGACUCAGUUUCAAAUUUUUGCAGCCUGAGUUCCAUCCAUGUACUCAACAGCAUUUUGAUAGGCAAAGCCUCAAAAAAGAAUGGAGACUGUUUUGGUUUUUUCAUGGAAAGAAGUUUCAGUCUGUUGGAGGAUUUAGAGGGACUGUUUGAAUCCAGACUGAGUAGCAAUAUAAGAGAUUAGAAGAGCUUUAGCUAAGGAAGCAGAAAGACACGUGGCCUGAGUGAUUCCUGAAAUAAUGCCUAAAAGUUUCCAGUGUAAUGUUAACUUGCAUGGAGACAGAAGUGCAACAGGACCACUUGUGUAGUAAAUGAAGGGCUGCCCAAGUCAUAAGGAUUUCAUAAGGCUACCAGGAGCAGGCAUCAGAAGGAUCUCCACAGUACCCUAAUUUGACAGUGCAAUCCAUGAGUCCUUGAAGCUGCACAUUCCUGCAGUUCUGUGAUGUGCUGGAAGCACAGAUCGUGAUGUUCCACGGAAAUACCACUGUGUUGCUGGAAGCACAUGAAAAUGCACAGUGAUUACAUAAAAGGUGCUGGAGGAGCUGACAUUUGUCUGGGUCUGAUUUCUGCAAAGGAAGCCUUUUGCUUGCAGAGGCAGGACUGCCAGGUCUCAAAGGCAAUGCUGCCACUAAUAAAACCAAAAGUGUGCAAAAAUAUUCUGGCUAUGAGAGAGAAACCCAAGAAAUGGGAACAACUGUAGAGAAAAUGGCUACCAGCUACAAAAGAUGAAAGACACUUCAACCAACCUGUGCCAGAAAAUAAGAAAGAAACUUGCUAUUAGACACAGGAUGGGCAAAUCAGAAGGAAAUGCAUGAUUCCAGCAUAGACUUUAGAUAUGUCUUACAAAUUUUGGUCAGUUCUAAUUGUUAUUUAAGAGUAGAUAUUUUCCACCUACUCGUUUCUUUUCCAUUUUUUUUCAAAUUGACCUUUAUCCAAUUUUCUCCAACUCACACUCCCAUUUUAGGCAGGUCUGAAGAUCAAAGGUUUUGUCUUUAAAGAGAGACAAUUCUUGCUAUGCUGGUGAAGUCCCAGUCAUUUCUCAGUCUUGUCAAUAGUUUUGCAAUACACCGAUAAAAUUAGCUAAUCAAUGGAAAGCACAUAUAGUGGAUGUGCUUCAUAAAGUCUGUGGGAUUAGACAUAACCAGGCAGUUCUGUCCAGUAGUAUCUAAGGUGAUGCAAUACACUCACUGAAGAGGAAUCAAGCGUGGUUGAGCAAGUUCUGAGUGAAUCAAAAGAAUCUUUCCUUGAUUUGGCCAGAAGAAAAUCUGAUUGAACAAACACAGCUGGAUUUUAGAUUCAUGGCUGUACCUCCCCAACAUCCCCAUACAUAGAGAAAAAAAGAGGUGAUAAUUGGCAUGGCUGGUAAUAUUGUGGGAUGGCUUCCGAAGGAUCAGCUAAUCAGCUACUCAUUGAGGUUAUCUGUCCACUGAUCUCCUGCUGACAGGCAGUAAAAAUCAUGGCUGCCAAAUACUUUUAAAGCGCAGAUUUCUCUCAGGAUGCCAAGCCUGCAAGGCCUGUUAUUUUGAUGUAGUUUGCCUGGAUGUAGAAGGCCUGAUUUGGAAAUCAUUUCUCUUUGACAGAUGUUGUUUUUGCCUUUGGCUUCAUAGGAAAGUGAAGCAAGUAAUAAACAUAAUAAAGUCACAGAACUUAGAGGUAAGCUUUCAAAGCAGUCCAAGAAAAAUAUUGUUUAUACAAAAUAAUUCUUAACCGAAACCAGGACUGGCUCUGGACAAAUACAUAAUUAUAAACCAUGGCAUUCUCUUCUGACUGAACACCAUAUGAUUUUAUAUUUACUUCCCAUACAUUUUGGGAAAGACAACAUGCCGGUUUUUGAACAGUGACUAUUUUAAAUCCAACACAGUUUUUAAGGUAUAUUUGAUGGUCACUUCUGACUAGAAGUAGCUCCUGCUUCUGGAGUAUUUGAGAAACAGAGGUAGACUACAGACGUUGCAAUGUUUUCUAAAAUCUUGGGAGUGUCUUUGAGCAUUUCUAUCACAGCUUUGUUUUACAGGUUUGAGACUUCUAAAUCCUCUCUCUGUGUGCCAUAUUGUACUGGGUUUUUAUGGCCAGGUUUUGGUAGUGGUGGGGAUUACAAGGGUGGCUUCUGUGAGAAGCUGACAGAAGCUUCCUCCAUG